AGUGAACGCUGGCGGUAGGCCUAACACAUGCAAGUCGAACGGCAGCACAGUAAGAUCUUGCUCUUACGGGUGGCGAGUGGCGGACGGGUGAGGAAUACAUCGGAAUCUACUUUUUCGUGGGGGAUUACGUAGGGAAACUUACGCUAAUACCGCAUAUGACCUACGGGUGAAAGCAGGGGUUCUUCGGACCUUGCGCGAUUGAAUGAGCCGAUUCCGGAUUAGCUAGUUGGCGGGGUAAAGGCCCACCAAGGCGACGAUGCGUAGCUGAUCUGAGAGGAUGAUCAGCCACACUGGAACUGAGACACGGUCCAGACUCCUACGGGAGGCAGCAGUGGGGAAUAUUGGGCAAUGGGCGCAAGCCUGAUCCAGCCAUACCGCGUGGGUGAAGAAGGCCUUCGGGUUGUAAAGCCCUUUUGUUGGGAAAGAAAAGAAGCAGAUUAAAACCCCGCUGUUCUGACGGUACCCAAAGAAUAAGCACCGGCUAACUUCGUG
rnacentral:rRNA from 1 species